AGAAUCAACGCUGGCGGCGUGCCUAACACAUGCAAGUCGAACGAGAAAGUGGAGCAAUCCAUUAGUAAAGUGGCGCACGGGUGAGUAACACGUGACUAACCUACCCUUGAGUGGGGGAUAACCUAGAGAAAUCUGGGCUAAUACCGCAUAAUACCUUUGGGUCAAAGGAGCAAUUCGCUUAAGGAGGGGGUCGCGGCCGAUUAGUUAGUUGGCGGGGUAAUGGCCCACCAAGACUAUGAUCGGUA
rnacentral:rRNA from 1 species